UACGUAGGGAGCAAGCGUUGUCCGGAAUCAUUGGGCGUAAAGCGCGCGUAGGUGGCUUCGUAAGUCCGUUGUGAAAGUCAAAGGCUCAACCUUUGAAAGCCGAUGGAUACUGCGAAGCUAGAGUACGGAAGAGGCGAGUGGAAUUCCUGGUGUAGCGGUGGAAUGCGCAGAUAUCAGGAGGAACACCAAUAGCGAAGGCAGCUCGCUGGGACGUUACUGACACUGAGGCGCGAAAGCGUGGGGAGCGAACAGG
rnacentral:rRNA from 1 species